UGCAGUCGAGCGGAACGAGUUAUCUGAACCUUCGGGGGACGAUAACGGCGUCGAGCGGCGGACGGGUGAGUAAUGCCUAGGAAAUUGCCCUGAUGUGGGGGAUAACCAUUGGAAACGAUGGCUAAUACCGCAUAAUGCCUACGGGCCAAAGAGGGGGACCUUCGGGCCUCUCGCGUCAGGAUAUGCCUAGGUGGGAUUAGCUAGUUGGUGAGGUAAUGGCUCACCAAGGCGACGAUCCCUAGCUGGUCUGAGAGGAUGAUCAGCCACACUGGAACUGAGACACGGUCCAGACUCCUACGGGAGGCAGCAGUGGGGAAUAUUGCACAAUGGGCGCAAGCCUGAUGCAGCCAUGCCGCGUGUGUGAAGAAGGCCUUCGGGUUGUAAAGCACUUUCAGUCGUGAGGAAGGUGGUGUAGUUAAUAGCUGCAUUACUUGACGUUAGCGACAGAAGAAGCACCGGCUAACUCCGUGCCAGCAGCCGCGGUAAUACGGAGGGUGCGAGCGUUAAUCGGAAUUACUGGGCGUAAAGCGCAUGCAGGUGGUUUGUUAAGUCAGAUGUGAAAGCCCGGGGCUCAACCUCGGAAUAGCAUUUGAAACUGGCAGACUAGAGUACUGUAGAGGGGGGUAGAAUUUCAGGUGUAGCGGUGAAAUGCGUAGAGAUCUGAAGGAAUA
rnacentral:rRNA from 1 species